rnacentral:lncRNA from 1 species
AAGGCGGUGUACAAGUCAUAAACGAUUGGAGCCUACCACGGUGGAAGGCCACGAAAGAGUGUUCAAAGCACUCUUACGCUUAUCAACUUAAUAAUGGUUUGGUUGAGGGUUUUAGGUCUCAUCACAUAUAAACAUACAUUUUAAUCUCUAUUAAAACAAUUUUGGUCCUAUUACAACUAUUGGUCCAUUUGAUUGUUUUAGUUGUAUAUAAUACUCCCACUAUACUUAUAAAAUGGUUUUUAAAGUAAGAGUAUAUGAUACUACUAACAUAAACUUUGCAUUCAUUUGAUGGACUAUAUAGUUGCCUUAGGGCCUUAGGAUGACUAUGAACCUUUUAAUUAGAUCCAACACGAGCCUUGUGUUGAAUCUCGGUCUAGGGAUGGUGAUUGAUUUUAGCUACGCGUUUAAUCACAUUAAGGCGUGUUGUCUUAGGGGCGUUGGACCCAACUACUUCAUUUUCAUGCAUAUCAAAUAAAGCAAGAAAGAAGUACUUCAAAGUAAAGGUGAGCUUAUGCUCAUUACAACAUUUGCAUAAAACAAUUUAAAAGUAAAGAAGGGCUUAUGCCCUUUUACAACAUUUGAUCAAAUCAAAUUACAACCAAAAUCUAAUCUACACAUUCCCAUGGUUCAAACAAAUUUGAAACGGCCUUUCAAAUAGCUCAAUUAUAUUAGGCUUAGGUUCAUAAUCACCCUUUAAUUAAUUAACACUUUAACUAAUUAAAUAGAAUGCAACAUUUUCAUUUGGUUUUUGUAUCCAUAAAAUUGAUUUAAAUGGAGCUAAAUGAAAUGAAAAUCCAAUUCUCAUUUAAAGAGACAAAACAAUUUUGUUCUCAACCUAAUUUGGGCCAAAUUGCAAUUAACCUCAACCUUUGGGCAAUAUUGCAAAAACAUAAACUUUUGGGGUCACUUUGUAAGAACACAAAAGUCCACUACUUCAUGUAAUUACACUAGAACCCAAAUUUAAACAAUGCAAAAACUUUAUUAAAGGAGCAAAACAAUUUGUCCUUUAGCGUUUUUGGACCUAAACGUAAAAACGUAAAUUUUUGGGCCAAAGUGCAAAUACACAAAAGUAUCAAAACUUUAUGUAAUUGCAUAAAAGCCCAAAAAGUACUCCCACUUGAGGGAGGACCGGUCUUGGAUAGGAGAAAUGAGUGAUGUGUGUGUUGAUUGCUAAGUUAGACAUAAAGCAUGCAAGUGGUGCAAGUGGUGUGUGUGAAAGGAAAUUAAUCCUUACACACCCACCAAUAUCUCUUACAUCUCUUACACCAUUUAAACAAGGGUAAAUUACAUAGUAGCCCCUCAGGUUUGAACUUUAUUGCAAUCUCAUACAACAUCUUUAAAACAUUUCA